CGUAGUCCGCGCGUUGCAUAAAUCCCUCACGCUCCGGGCCGCGCGGCAGCUGCCCACGCAAGCAUGGCUGCGCGCAGUAGGGGCGCGUACGUUUGUUUCGACCGUGGGUCUGGGCCGGCUCGUGGGGCUGGGCUUUAGGCAGGUAGUAUUUAGUGUCACGAUGUUUGGGGAUCUGUUUGAAGAAGAUUAUUCCAGUGUGUCAAAUUAUCAGUAUGGAAAUGAGAAGAAAUUAAAGACCAAGGUUUUGGAGCCACCGGCUCCUAGAGAAUUCACCAAUUUAAGCGGAAUUAGAAAUCAGGGUGGAACCUGUUACCUCAAUUCCCUUCUUCAGACUCUUCAUUUCACACCCGAAUUCAGAGAAGCCUUAUUUUCCCUUGGCCCAGAAGAGCUUGGUUCAUUCGAGGAUAAGGAUAAACCUGACGCAAAGGUUCGAAUCAUCCCUUUACAGUUACAGCGGAUGUUUGCUCAGCUUCUGCUCUUAGACCAGGAUGCAGCGUCCACCACGGACCUCACUGACAGCUUCGGGUGGACCAGUGAUGAGGAAAUGAGGCAACAUGAUGUGCAAGAACUGAAUCGAAUUCUCUUUAGUGCUUUGGAAACUUCUUUAGUCGGGACCUCCGGCCAUGACCUCAUCAAUCGUCUGUAUCACGGGACCAUUGUUAACCAGGUUGUUUGUAAAGAAUGUAAGAAUGUCAGUGAAAAGCAGGAAGACUUCUUAGAUCUCACAGUAGCAGUCAAAAACGUAUCAGGUUUGGAAGAUGCACUCUGGAACAUGUAUGUAGAAGAGGAAGUUUUUGACUAUGACAACCUGUACCACUGUGGGACUUGUGACAGGCUGGUUAAAGCAGCCAAGGUAAAGACAGACACCUGCCUUCUCUUGGGCGCCCCCUCCGCACUCGGCAGCACCAAGUCGGCCAAAUUACGUAAGCUGCCUCCCUUUCUUACUGUUUCAUUGUUAAGAUUUAAUUUUGAUUUUGUGAAGCACGAACGAUACAAGGAAACUAGCUGUUACACGUUCCCUCUCCGGAUCAAUCUCAAGCCUUUUUGUGAACAGAGUGAAUUGGAUGACUUGGAGUAUGUUUAUGACCUCUUUUCGGUUAUUAUCCACCAAGGUGGUUGCUAUGGAGGACAUUAUCACGUGUAUAUUAAAGAUGUCGAUCAUUUGGGAACCUGGCAAUUUCAAGAGGAAAAAAGUAAACCAGAUCUCCAGAAUAAAGAGGAGAUUGAUGAUGAUCCAUUGAUAAUUCUAAAAGCAAUCUUACUACAGGAGGAGAGUAAUCUGAUUCCUGUUGAUCAGCUGGGCCAGAAACUCUUGAAAAAGAUAGGAAUAUCUUGGAACAAGAAGUACAGAAAACAGUAUGGACCACUGCGAAAGUUCUUACAGCUUCAGUCUCAGAUAUUUCUGCUCAGUGCAGAUGAAAGUACAGUCAGUCUCUUGAAGAAUGGUUCUCUCCAGGCUGAGUCCGAUUUCCAAAAGAAGGAUCAACACCUUUUCCAGAUGCAUACUUCAGAAUCCCCAGGAUUAAAUGACAGAAACUCCUGUCCCCACUGGUUUGAUAUAAAUGAUUCCAAAGUCCAACCAAUCAAGGAAAAAGAUAUUGAACAGCAGUUUCAGGGUAAAGAAAGUGCCUACAUGUUGUUUUAUCGGAAAUCCCAGUUGCAGAGGCCCCCCGAAGCUCGAGCCAAUCCAAGGUACGGGGUUCCAGGUCAUUUGCUGAAUGAAAUGGAUGCGGCCAACAUUGAACUGCAAAGAAAAAGGGCAGAAUGUGAUUCUGCAAACAAUAGUUUUGAAUUGCAUCUGCACCUGGGCCCUCAGUAUCAUUUCUUCAAUGGGGCUCUGCACCCGACAGUCUCUCAAGCAGAAAGCACGUGGGAUUUCACCUUUGAUAAAAGAAAAACUUUAGGAGAUCUUCGACAGUCAAUACUGCAGCUGUUAGAAUUUUGGGAAGGAGAUCUGGUGCUUAGUGUGGCAAAGCUUGUUCCUGCAGGACUUCACGUUUAUCAGAUGCUGGAUGGAGAUAACCUGACACUGUGUGAAAUGGAAAUUGAGGAUGGGGAAGACAUCUUUGUAUGGAAUGGGGUGGAGGUUGGUGGCAUCCACAUUCCAACCGGUAGCGACUGUGAGCCUGUGCUCAUAAAUGUUCUUCAUCUCGCAGCAAGCAGCCAGGGGGAGAAGUGUCAGCAGUUGGCAGAGGCCCCACAUGUGUUCCCAUCCAAUGCAGAAGUGCGGGCUGUGCUCACAGCCUUGGCAAUGCCCGUAGCCGUCCUCUUCGUCAGCACCACCGACUCUGUCGGGGAAGAGAACUGGGUCGCCAUUCCUGAGGAAGAUCUGAAGAAGACGUUCAGAGAACAGGGCCUCGGGAACGGGAGCUCGGUUCUCGUUCAGGAGUCUAAAGAUGAUAAGAGUUUGCUGCUCAGACAAGGGAAAUGGUUCACUGGUGCGAGUGAGACCAGCUGGCUCCAAGUUCAAAAUUUAUGCGAGGUGGAGUCUGAGGAGAAGCAAGUUAAAAUAUCAGCCACUGUGAACACAGUGGUGUAUGAGAUUCGAAUUAAAGCCAUAAAGGAAUUAAAAUUAAUGAAGGAACUAGCUGAGAACAGCUGUUUGAGACCUAUCGGUAGAAACGGGAAGCUUCUCUGUCCAGUGCCAGACAGCUACAGCGUGAAGGAAGCGGAACUGAAGAUGGGCAGUUCAUUGGGACUGUGUCCUGGGAAAGCACCAACUCCCUCCCAGCUGUUCCUGUUUUUCACUGUGGGGAGUGAUGUUCAGCCUGGUACAGAGAUGGAGAUCAUCGUAGAAGAAACAAUGUCUGCGAGAGAUUGUUUAAAGCUCAUGCUGGAGAAGUCUGGCCUACCAGGAGACACAUGGCAUUUACGGAAAAUGGAUUGGUGCUAUGAAGCGGGAGAGCCUUUAUGUGAAGAAGACGCAUCCCUGAAAGAACUCACGAUAUGUUCUGGAGAUACCUUGCUUUUAAUUGAAGGGAAACUUCCUCUUCCGGGUUUCCUGAAGGUGCCCAUCUGGUGGUACCAGCCUGGGGGUCCCUCCGGUCAUUGGAAGAGUCAUCAGGACCAGGUGGACGGUACCCCUUCUCCAAGUGGGGUCUGGACAGCUACUUCCACCCAAGGCGCUCCAGGUGACCUGUAUGCAGAGGCUUCCCUCCGCCACGUGGGGGACCUCGAGAUCUCAGAAGAGGCCACCUUGCUGGAGCUGAAGUCCCAGUCUGUUCUGAUAUGGCAUGUGUUAUAUGCCAUGUUCAGUGGCCAUGACCUUGUCCUCCUCUGAUUUCGUCAUCCCGUCCCCAGCCUUCCUUAGAGCCUGGACGUUGGAAAGUAAGCGCCCCGGCAGGCUUUUACGGACCAACCUGCAGCAACUCAAAACAUUCAAGAUCUGCUCUCCUAGCAACUUUCAAAUAUGGGAUACAGCACGGUGAACGGGAAGAGCUGGGCUGUACAUUAGAGCCUCAGAACUCACUUGUCUUCCUCCCGGACGUUUGGACUCUGUGAUCAGCAUCUCCUCUUUUCCUGCAGCCCUAGAAACCGUCACGUACUCUCUGUUCCUAGGAGUCCGGCCUUUUCAGAUUCCACAUAUUUGUGAGAUCGUACAGGAUUUAUCUUUCUCUGUCUCACUCACUCCACGUUACUCGCAUAAUGUCCUCAAGGUCCAUCCAUGUUGUCACAGACGAUAGGCUGUCCUUCUUUCUCGUGGCCGAAUGAUAGUCUGUCGCUUACACGUAUAGACACCACGUCAUUGUCUGUGAUGGACACUUAGGUGUUUCCAAAUCCUGGCUGUUGUGAAUAAUGCUGCUGUGAAUAGUACCUGUUUGAGAUUUUGUUUUCAUUUCCGUGCAUACCCAGAAGUGCUAGGUCAUAUUGGCAAUUCUACUUUUAAUUUUUUGAGGAACCUCCAGAAGAUUGGCUUCACCAAUUUACUUUCCCACCAACAGUGCACAGGGCUCCCUUUUCUCCACACCCUCGCCAGCACUUAUCUCGUCUUCCUGAUGCUGGUGGGAGGUGGCAUCUCAGGGUGGUUGCGAUUUGCAUUUCCUUGAUGAGGAGUGAUGUUCACCUUUUCACGUGCCUUUUGGCCACCUGUAGAUCUUCUUCAGGAAAGUGUCUAUUCGGUUCCUCUGCCCAUUUUUUUACUGGACUGUUUCAGAGGUUUCUUGCUUUUGAGCUUUCUGGGUUCUUUCUUAACCCUUUAUCACAUAGAUGAUUUGCAGGUAUUUUCACCCAUUUCAUAGGUGGCUUUUUCAUUGACUGAUGGUUUCCUUUGCUGUGCAAAAGCUUUUUAAUUUGAUGCAGUCAGUCCCACUUAUUUUUGCUUUUCUUGGCUUUUCCUUUUGGUAUCAGUACCAAAUCCAAAAAAGUCAUCGCCAAGGCCAAUGUCAGGGAGCCUACCUCCUGUGUUUUCUUCUAGGAGUUUUGUGGUUUGUGGCCUUUCAUUCAAGUCUUUAAUCCAUUUUGAGUUGCUUUUUUUUUAAGUUUGUAUUAUUUAAAUACACCAUAUUAGAGCACUUGUCUCUGAAAAUAUCACAAAUAAAAGAUUUUUUUUUCUUGUUUCAGCAAAUUAGAAGUAGGGGGAAAUUUCUACACAGUAGCUGCUAUGAGCCUGAUUUCUUUCUUGCAAUUUUUUUUCUUUUUUUUUUUCAUUCUUUUUUUUUUCUUCUUUGUCAUGGAAGUAGCAACAUCAGGACGAGAACACUUACAUGCAUACAUAGGCUGUAUUUUACAGAGACACAACAAAAGCGUUUGCGAUAGAUAGAGUGUUGCAAACGCCACAUCUCUUUCCUUUAUCUCAUGUUCGGUUUUGAUUGAAACACAUUUCCUUACAACGCUUAAAUAUACAAAGAGUAAGUAGAAUGUUGUUAAGGUAAAACACAGGGUACAGACUCUGGCCAGUGCCCUGCUAAUUGUUAAUGAGAGUAGAAAGCAGAUUUGAAUUCUCCUCUUAAUUCUCUUAAUUAGCUUCAUUAGUCAUUUCCCUCCUCCCAUGCUCCCCCCACCCAAGAUGUGCCCCCCCGUGGAUCUUUUUUUCAUUUUCUCUACAGUCUCUCCAUCAGCCCAGGUUCGUGGGGUGCUUAAUGUUCGUAUUCAGUCAUUUUAAUACACCGGUAAUGUAGGAAGGGCAGUCAGGUCUGACGGAGGUGCGGUGGCGUGGAGCUGGCACUGGGGCUACCAAAGCGACUGUCUACUGAAGACAACGCGGGGUCCACUGUGACGAACGCAGUCGGAACGCAUCUGGCGUUACUCUGACCUUCCAGCAUCCCGGGUCUGGCAGUAGUGGAUGGCACUGAAGUGAACGUAAAUGGCCACCGAUGAGAGUUGUGGGUCUGUCACGUCCACAAAAUAAACUGCCACUGAUGUAGUGAAACCAAUCUCCUGGGACCACGGAAGACACUGAGAUGAUAUGCAUCGCCUCGGGCCCAGUUUGCGUGCAGGAAUCGACUGUCCUUAAGCGCUGCAGGCUCUGCUGUUCCCAGAUCACCGGCCAUAGUCACUUGGGCAUGGGACCACACCGCCCUCGGUGUAACAGGACAGGGCCGAUGUCGCCGCGCUGCACCCGGCCGCGGGGACACGCGAGGCUCCAGCUGUGCCGGUAGCUGUCCGUGGCA